AACAAGAACGAAACUCUGUCUCAGACAAACAAACAAACAAACAAACAAAAAACAGUCCUUGCUGUCUUGUAACCAGAGGCAGGAAUAGCCUAUGUCUCAGGAGUGGCUUGUCAUGGCCAAGGGAUCCAUCCUGGAAAGCUUUCUGGAGGAGGCGGUAGCUGAGUGGAGCCUUGCACAGGGUGGGGACAGGAGUUGUGCACAUUUGGGAAACCGCUCUGGCAGCGGCCCAGCCCCGGGGGAGGAGGCUGCAGUUAGGGAGGCCACUAUUUGGGCAAGGGGAAGUGUGGCCAUGGGGAGGGGAGGAGCCCAGGCUGAAUUACAGGGGAGGUUUUAGGAAGGACAGCCAGGACUUGUACAUCUGCUGGCCCCAGGGCCCUGGCUCAUGCUCAGAAUGGACAGAUGCGGAAGGGGUGCCCCAGGUCAGCCUUGGUGUGGGGCUGAGGCCCUGUGCAACUGGGCUUAGUGGGGUGGCCACUGGAAUAUCCUGCAAGACACCCCGAUGCUGCUGUGACGGAGGGACCUGAUGGUGGGAGGCUGCAGGGGGAUCCUGGUAGUGGCUGCUUCAUACGGGCGUCCUGUUUCCCAGCAAAGAUGGAUCAAGGACUAUGGAGCCCGCAAUUGUGGGGCUGCCCUCCACACCAGAGUGAAGAGCCAGAGGGGCCUGGUGGAAAUGUGCAGGGCAUGUCACACCCACACCUAAGGAAAGGGCCCAGUCCUACAGCACCAGCAACCAAGCAGUUAAAAGUAUUCUGUGGCUCCCAGGGUCACAGAGUGGAGCCUUCCCCAGAGUCAGGAGCCUGGAUUCAGGGUCAUUGUCCCUGCAGAGCUCAGAGCCCAGAUUCUCCCUGCCCCACCUCACUCUCUUUGGGAUUGAUUGCUCAGCAAAGACAAAAAGACGGCGGCCCUCCAUGGACCAAAGCCCCUGAGCCAGGGCCCAUCCCCCAACAGUGGUGUUCCUGCUAUAACAGGUCCCUGCCGGGUAGGAUGAGACACCUCUGUGUAAAAAAACACGUCCACACACACUCCCGCGAUAUUGAUGCAAAAACAAUCUGUUCGCUCUUCCUAGAGUACUGACCGGUAAUACCAUAUUCAAAAGCCUUUAAAAAAGCAAAUCCUCAGUGAAGUUACAAUUAUUCUCCUGGGAGUACACCAAGGGAAUUAUUAGAAAUGUAUGACAAAGAUGUUCAUAGCAGCAGGUUUGUAAAUCACCUAGACAGCCAAUCAUCAAGAGUGAGGUAAAGAAGUUACAUAUGGAACAUCUGAACAACGGAUUCUUCUGCAGUCAUUUAAGUGUGAUCUAGAAAUAUUUAAAGAGGAGGUGAGUGGUUUGCUGCAUAUUAGUGAAAGUGCAGAGAGUAAAACGUGACAUAUGACCACGGUGAUUUCAAAUAUGUAUUACAAAAAGACAAGAAAGGCUGGACAAAUAUCCACCUGAAUGUCAGCUGUGUUUCUCUGAGCUGGACUUCUAUCUAUUUGUUAUGGUCUCAGAGAUGCUUUCCCAUGUUUGCAAAUUUGCAGAUGAUGAACAUAUAUCAUCUAUGUUUGCAAAAGGAAUCAGUCGUGUGUGUGUGUAUAUGUGUGUGUGUGUGUAUCUCAAUGGCACAGAAAUAAAAGGCCAAGUUAAA